UAAGUAGGUAGUGAAAUGACGGGGCUCAACCCCGUGUCCAUUAUCUAAACUGCUAAGCUAGAGUAUGAGAGAGGUACCUGGAAUUUCCUGUGUAGGAGUGAAAUCCGUAGAUAUAGGAAGGAACACCGAUGGCGUAGGCAGGGUACUGGCUCAUUACUGACGCUCAGGCACGAAAGCGUGGGGAGCGACCGGGAUUAGAUACCCCGUUAGUCCACGCCGUAAACGAUGGAUGCUA
rnacentral:rRNA from 1 species